CGGCGGCGUGGGACGGCGUGCGCGAGUCACUCCUCGUGCGCUCGCGCCCUCCCAGUGUUCAGGGCAGCCGUGUGUUCAGAAGAGAUUAAGAAAGGAGAAAUUCCCUGGUGCGGAGCCCCUUCAGCUUUAGCUGCACGGUGCUGAGGUGAGAGCAGGAGAGGAGGCUGGUGGGUGUUUGCCUUCUGAAGAAAGAGACUUUACAUCUCCUGAAAGCCUAAGAAAUCCAUAUGGCAAAAACACCCCGCUGUGAGACCGAGCAGAGUGAAACCCAUGCAGGGUAAUGGAUUCAUCCCUAACUCAGCCUCUUCUGAAUGCUUUGCGCAGGGGACACGGUCGUGCCGCUGAACGCCACCCCCCAUCUGUUCUUGGGCUGCACGUGGGAUUUUCUUGGAGGGGUUUUUGAUGGAGAGAAGAGCAAAAGUAACUUAGCGUUCAAGAAAUGUUGCUUACGGUCCACAACAAUGCAAUGGACAGACCCGGGAGCAGGAAUUUUAAAAUACAACCUUCAAAUACUUUGGAAUGUGAGUGGCUUUAUUUACUUGAAACAGCCGCAUCCAAACCGAUCAGGUCAUGUGAAAAAGUGAAGGUGCCUCAGCAAGUGUGCAGUGUGCAGCAGAACAGGACUCUUCCCAGGACUUCGGAAUGAUGAGUCUGCUCUUCUCUUUGAAUGAAAGCCCUUUCUUCCUUAGUCCAUUGAUCUCUGAUUCUAGAGAUGGCAAUAAUUCAGGAAGAGGCCUCAGAGAUGUAGAGCACUUGGCCCUAUCCCAGGGUGUUCCUUCUGCUUUUGGCAAUGGAUCUGACCACUAGCAUCCUUCUGAAGUGAGUGUGACCCAGAACACAGGAACUCCUCCUUCUUCUUGGGUGUCCCUCCAGGAGCAGAGUAAGUGCCCUGUGCAGCAGCAGCAAGGCAGACACUGGCACACAGUCCAGCGGGGUCUCAGCCUACCAGCUCUUCUGUGUCUUUUCUCAGAACCUUAGCACUCACCGUGGGGAAAACGAGAGGUACAUAAAGCAUUUCACUGUUUGCAAAAUCAGAUGUGAUCUCUCUGUGGCAUCAUCGGCCUCUGGCUCAUCUUGUGCUCGGAACCUCAGGUCCAUAAGGCAUUUACACUGUUUGCUACACAUUUCCUGGAACUAUGUCAUGUAGAUGCUUUAUACCCCCACGUUCAAAACUUCCAUUUUGAAGUGCAGUACGUGAGAAGCAGGGCUGGAAAUAAGGAGAAAAUCGUUUACGCUUACACUCUCUAAAGGAUGCACGGAGGAAAAGAACUCGGAACUGGGUAUUACCUUUCUCCCCAGUGUGAGGUGGUAUUCCAUGGAUUGUUGGGAUUGCACAUUGGGUGUUGAAGGGCUCUGGCAUCUCUUUCUCCCUAAUGGAAGAGUGAGGAAACGGGGAUGCUGCUGCCUGUCAGAGAUGUGGGAACAGCCCAGUUCCAGAGAGGACAGCUCACGGUGUGUGCCCCGAGAUGGUCUUUACUGUUAUUGUGUCCUUAAAGCCUGUUGGAUUGCUGGCCUGGAUUUAGGAGGAGCCAAGUAGCCUGGAGUCGUCAGUGUGUUUUUUCCUGUCAGAAAUCCAUUAUGGGGAUGUUUCCCGGGCUGUCCUAAUGGGAAGAAGCAGCUUUGAAGUUCUUGCAGCCACAGGCUGUGGAUGCGUCCUCGGAAAAGUGGCUCAGGAUUGUUCAUCUGACUCUGCCCCUGACCCAUGGCUACCAGGGAGCCUCCUGGUGUUCUGGAUACUCCACCACCUGCUAUUUAAGGCAGGAAUUACUCCAAACUCAGUAAGUCAGUCGCAUUUUAUGUGAGCUGUCCUGAUGGGAGGACGGAAGAGGGACCAAACGCCCCACACUGCUGUUUGAGACAUUCCCAACUGGAGCUGGGGCCAUCUGGGCGUUUUGGAGUGCUGAGACCACAAGGUCAGCGUUGAACAGCGUCCCCAGGGAAUGCUGAGGCAUGCCAUGCCUGUGGCACUUGGCAACACGUACCUGAUGUGGAGCAAAAAGAAGAGAGGGGAAAUUCUGGGUUAAUGGAAGGAAUGGAAUUGGGGUUCCUGGAACUGAAUUGGGAUAGGUGCCGAUCAUAUCACGGAGUCAUGGGGUGUUUUGGCUUGGAAAGGACCACGAAGACUCUCUGGACUCUGUUGUCCCAUCCCACGGCAAAGGACACGUCCAAAAGUGCCUCCUGAACCUCGUGGAGUGGCAACAGCUGCUGGGAGCUCUGGCAGGAGGACCUGCAGACCAGUGGUUUUCUAGGCCUUGAGGGUAAUUCCAAGAAUUUGGAAGUUGUUGGAAUAGAGUGAGGGAAAUAUGUGAACCUGAUCCAUUUCAAGUAAUUCUGGACUUCUCCCCCAACACCACUCUAAGGGAAAGCUGCAGGUAAAGAUGGGUAAAGGGUAAAGAUGCAGAGGAGCAAGUGUUGUAAACCCUCCUGGCUGUCCGACAGAGCCAACCUUUCUGCAGUCCCACUAAAUCUC